CGAACGCUGGCGGCAGGCUUAACACAUGCAAGUCGAGCGCCCCGCAAGGGGAGCGGCAGACGGGUGAGUAACGCGUGGGAACGUACCUUUUGCUACGGAAUAACUCAGGGAAACUUGUGCUAAUACCGUAUGUGCCCUUCGGGGGAAAGAUUUAUCGGCAAAGGAUCGGCCCGCGUUGGAUUAGCUAGUUGGUGAGGUAAAGGCUCACCAAGGCGACGAUCCAUAGCUGGUCUGAGAGGAUGAUCAGCCACACUGGGACUGAGACACGGCCCAGACUCCUACGGGAGGCAGCAGUGGGGAAUAUUGGACAAUGGGCGCAAGCCUGAUCCAGCCAUGCCGCGUGAGUGAUGAAGGCCCUAGGGUUGUAAAGCUCUUUCACCGGUGAAGAUAAUGACGUAACCGGAGAAGAAGCCCGGCAA
rnacentral:rRNA from 2 species